rnacentral:rRNA from 1 species
GACGGAGGAUGCAAGCGUUGUCCGGAAUCAUUGGGCGUAAAGAGCGUGUAGGCGGCCAGAAAAGUCCGCUGUGAAAACUCGAGGCUCAACUUCGAGCUGUCGGUGGAAACUUUCUGGCUAGAGUCCGGAAGAGGAGAAUGGAAUUCCUGGUGUAGCGGUGAAAUGCGCAGAUAUCAGGAAGAACACCCGUGGCGAAGGCGGUUCUCUGGGACGGUACUGACGCUGAGACGCGAAAGCGUGGGGAGCGAACAGG